CAGCAGCCGCGGUAAUACGAAGGGUGCAAGCGUUACUCGGAAUUACUGGGCGUAAAGCGUGCGUAGGUGGUGGUUUAAGUCCGUUGUGAAAGCCCUGGGCUCAACCUGGGAAUUGCAGUGGAUACUGGGUCACUAGAGUGUGGUAGAGGAUAGUGGAAUUUCCGGUGUAGCAGUGAAAUGCGUAGAGAUCGGAAGGAACAUCUGUGGCGAAGGCGACUAUCUGGGCCAACACUGACACUGAGGUGCGAAAGCGUGGGGAGCAAACAGGAUUAGAGACCCCCGUAGUCCCUGUCUCUUAUAC
rnacentral:rRNA from 1 species